UCUUUGCACCAUCAGUUUAGAGAGGAUAAUUCACAAGCCCCGAAGUCUUGCAUUCAGUUUGCCGCAUUUAAAAACUAUUCAGAGGAAUUCGAAACGACAUUAGGAGUCUCCAUCAUGGGUUCAUGGAUCAGUUAAUGUGAGCUCACUUUCAAGUCCGAAUCUAAAAGUCCAGGUCCUAGUGGGUGGCAGGCAUGCAGUCAACAUGUGUUGGAUGAAUGGAUUAAUGAAGGAUCCCACUCAAGAUACCACAUCACGUUUAAUUACAAUAUCUCCUCAGGGCCUUCUUGGCUGUGACAAUUUCUCAGACUCUCCUUGUUUUCGAUGACUGCGACAAUUUUGAGGAAUGCUGGUCAGAUAUUCCCUAGAAUGUCUCUCCAGUGGGUUUUGUCUGAAGCUUUUCUCAUGGUUAGAUUGGGGUUACCGGUUUGGGGAAGGAAAACCAGAGAGGAGGAGCGGUAUUUUCAUGAUGUCAUAUCAUGGGUACGUGCUGUCAUGGCAUCACUACUGCCGUUGACCUUGACCACCUGGCUGAGGCAGUGUCUGUCGGGUUUCUCCGCUGUGUGCAGCAACACUUAAGGGAUGGGUGUCAAGCUCCACAUCCUUGAGAUUUUCAUAAAUUACUUGUAAUUCUUCUGCACU